GUUAAAUGGCCGCAGUAUUUUGACUGUGCGAAGGUAGCAUAAUAAUUAGUUUUUUAAUUGAAAGCUGGAAUGAAUGAUUGGACGAGAAAAAAUCUGUCUCAAUUUUAUUUAAUUAGAAUUUUAUUUUUAAGUAAAAAAGCUUAAAUAUUUUUAAAAGACGAGAAGACCCUAUAGAGUUUUAUAUAUUUAUUUUUUAUUUAUUUUUUAGUAUUGUAGAAUUUAUAUGAUUAGAUAGUAUUUAGUUGGGGUGACUAAAAAAUUAAUUAAACUUUUUUUUUAUUAUUACAUUAAUAUAUGAUUAAUUGAUCCAUUUUUUAUGAUUAUAAGAUUAAAUUACCUUAGGGAUAACAGCGUUAUUUUUUUUUAGAGUUCUUAUCGAAAAAAAAGUUUGCGACCUCGAUGUUGGAUUAAAAUUAAUAUUUGGUGAAGAAGCUAAGUUAUUAGGUCUGUUCGACCUUUGAAAUUUUACA
rnacentral:rRNA from 1 species